rnacentral:lncRNA from 10 species
CUUGGGUCCCCUUCCACACUGUGGAGGCUUUGUUCUUCCGCUCUUUGCAAUAAGCAGCUUCACUCCUGAGCCAGCAAGACCAUGAACCCACCAGAAGGAAGAAACUCCGAACACAUCUGAACAUCAGAAGGAACUAACUCCGGACACACCGCCUUUAAGAACUGUAACACUCACUGCGAGGGUCCGCGGCUUCAUUCUUAAAGUCAGUGAGACCAAGAACCCACCAAUUCCAGACACAUUUUGGCGACCACAAAGGGACUAUCGCCUAUCGCCAAGCGGUGAGACUAUCGCCGAGUGGUGAGACCAUCGCCUAUCGCUGAGCAGCAAGACUAUCACCUAUCGCCAAGCAGUGUUAAAAUGGACUAUUAACUUGGAAUACAGCCUCUCCCUCUUGGGAAGUGACAAGAAUAUUCUAAUGUCAAGAUAAGUCAAGCUGACCUUGCAUUGUUACUGAAGCCGACGCUCCUCUGCCUAGUCCUUACCCUUCAUCCCGGUCCAGCCCCAACCCUUUCCUGCUGCUGAUCCUCCAUUCUCAGCUCUACACACUGGCUGCUUGCCCUUCCUGAAAUGCUCCUCGGGCUUCCACACUUGGCUGUGUCUUUCCUGGAAGCCCCUUUCCACAUCCAGCUCAUCCUGUUGGAAUUCUCCCCAGUCUUCAAGGCCAGGUUUAAAGGCCAUCUCCUCAGGAAGCCUUCCCUGAUCCUCCAGCUUCCUCCUCAGAAAGUUGACCUUCAGUGCAAACACCAAUCAUGUGCUGCUUUAAUCUGAAGUAAAGGUGUGUCUCUCACCCUUCUCCCUUCUCCUACGCAGCAGUAAUGGAGAGCUUCUGGAGACCUCGCAUAGAAGAAAUCGCUGGGGCUGCUGGGAGUGUUUCAUUGAAAAAGAGAACACUUCCUGGAGUCAUGAGUCAUGUGCCCUAAGCUUCCUUCAACUGUUAAUCAUCUAUCAGACUUUGAGCUCCUCAUGGAAACUCUACCUGGGCUUCUUUGGAGGUCCUUUACACACACACACACACGUGCAUGCAUGCAUGCACACACACACAAAUGCAUACACACACACACGCACACAUGCACACACACGCAUGCACACAUGCACACACACACACCCCUGUUCCUAGCACAAGCAGUGCCCACAUACAACUUCCUGUCUGAUGUGAAAGGUCUCUCUUUUGCACCCUCUUUGGUGGUAUGGUGGGCAGAAUUCUAAGAUGGCUUCCAAAGCUUCCUGUUCCCUGAGUGCCUGUACCCUGACCUGAAGGAUCCCUGAGACUGUGAAUAUCACAGAUUUUACUCCUGUGAUUCAGUUAUGUCAGAUGGUAAAGUUGAUCUUAAAAUAGGGAGAUGAUCUGGGUGGCCCUGACCUAAUCACGUGAGCCUUUUGAAAGCAGACCGUUUUCUUCCAUGGGUCAUAGAAGGGGAAGUCUGAGAGCUUCAAAGCAUGAGAGGGACUUGACGGUGGGUGGGUCCCGUGGCUGAGCUGGAGGAAGUCACGUGGCAAGCCCUGAGAGUGGCCUCUAGGAUUUGAGAACAGUUCCCAGCCAACAGCCAGCAAGACAAAGGGACCUCAGUCCUCCAACUGUAAGAAAGUGAAUUCUGCCAACAGCCCGAGGAAGUCUGGAAGUGGAUCAAGCCUCCAGAUGAGGACACACCUGGCCAGCACCUUGGUUUCAGCCUUACAAGAUGCUGAAAGGAGGACCCAGCUACAAUGUACUGGCCUCCUGCUGGAUGUGGAAGUUCACCCUUGUGAUCACAACUACUUGGGAGGCUGAGGCAGGAGGACUGCUUGAGCCCAGGAGUUCUAGGCUGUAGUACACUAUGCCCAUCAGGUGUCUGGACUAAGUCUGGCAUCAAUAAGGUGACCUCCUGGGAGUGAGGACCACAGGAUUGCUCAAGGAGGGUGAAUUGGCCCAAGUCCGAAACCGCAAGUAAAAAUUCUCAUGCUGAUCAGUAGUGGGACUGCACCUGUGAGUAGCCACUGCACUCCAGCCUGGGCAACAUGGCGAGACCUCAUCUCUAUUAAAACAAAACAAAACAAAAAAGGCUGCACUCCUGACCCAUGGAACAGUGAGCCAGUAAGUUGGUGGGGAGGAGUAUUUUCAUCUGCUCUGCAUGUUAAAAUCAUCUUACCUUAAUACUAGUCAGGAAAAUGCAAAGUAAAAUGACAUUAUAGCAUCGCUCUUAACCCAAUGUGAUUGUCACAAAUUCCUAAAUAUAUAAUAUCCAACGUGGGCAAGGGCAAUGGAAUAUAUAAACACUUGAAUACACAUUUGGUGGGACUGCAAAAUGAUAAGGGCUUCUGGGAGACAAUUAAAAUUUUUAAAUGGGCAUACCCUUCAAUCCAACAACUCCCCUUCUCAAUAUCUGUCCUAGAGAAAUAUACUCAGAGGCAUGUGAGAUAUAUUUAUUGUACCAUUUGGUACUAUUUAGAAACAAGUUAGAGACCUAUUAAUAGAACAGUGGUUAGAGGAGUUGUGGUAGAACCAUACUGGGAAUACUGUAGGUUUCAUACAGUGUUUUAAAACAAGGUAGCAGCUCUAAAUGGGCUAACGUGAAAAGAUCUUGUGCAUAUAUCAGUAGAUGAGAAAAGGAAUUGCAGGACAAUAUUUAUAGGCCACAUUUUAGCAACUGAUUCGGAGACACACACUAAUUACUUUUCAACAGCUCAGAAGGCACCUUACAAUCGAGGGUGGCCCAGUGCCAGUCAAACUGCAUAUCCUGAACAUACGUGAACCCUUGAAAUUUCAGUUAACAAAUCACCUUAGGACCAUUUGAGGAAGGAACAAGGAGUUCUGUCUGUUUCUGAAAGCUUUCUAUGAGAUCAAGAAAGUAUCAGCAUCAAAAAUUUUAGGCCAGGCCAGGAACGGUGGCUCACACCUGUAGUAAUCCCAGCACUUCAGGAGGCCAAGGAGGGUGGAUCACCUGAGGUCAGGAGUUCGAGACCAGCCUGGCCAACAUGGCAAAACCCUAUCUCUACUAAAAAUACAAAAAUUAGCCAGGCACGGUGGCAUACGCCUGUAGUCCCAGCUACUUGGGAGGCUGAGGCAGGAGAAUUGCUUGAACCAGGGAGGCAGAGGUUGCAGUGAGCCAAGUUCAAGCCACUGCACUCCAGCCUGUGUGACAGAGUGAGACUCCGUCUCAAAAAAAAAAAAAAAAAAAAAAAAAAAAAAAAACAUUGUAGGCCAGGUGCAGUGGCUCAUGCCUGUAAUCCCAGCAUUUUGGAAUGCCAAAGUGGGAGGAUCAAUUGAGCUUAGAAGUUCAGGGCCAGCCUGGGCAACAUAAUAAGACCCUGUCUCUACAAAAAAUAAAAAAUUAGGUCAGGCGCAGUGGCUCACGCCUGCAAUCCCAGCACUCUGGGAGGCCGAGGCAGGCAGGUCACCUGAGGUCAGGAGUUCAAGAUCAGCCUGCCCAACAUGGCAAAACUCCCUCUCGACUAAAAAUACAAAAAAUUAGCUGGGCAUGGUGGUGGGCGUCUGUAAUCCCAGCUACUCAGGAGGCUGAGGCUGGAGAAUCUCUUGAAUCCGGGAGGCAGAGGUUGCAGUGAGCUGAGAUCGUGCCACUGCACUCCAGCCUGGGCAACAAGAGAGAAACUCCGGCUCAAAAAAACAAAACAAAAAAAAUUAGGCCAAGCACAGUGGCUCACGACUGUGAUCCCAGCACUGUGGGAGGCCAAGGCGGGCAGAUAGCUUGAACUCAGGAGUUUGAGACCACCUGGGCAACAUGGCAAAACCCUGUCUCUACAAAAAAUACAAAGGUUAGCUGGGUGCAGUGGCAUGCGCCUGUAGUCCCAGCUACUUGGGAGGCUGAGGUGGAGGAUCAUCUGAGCCCAGUAGGCGCACGUUGCAGUGAGCCAAGAUGGUGCACACCACUGCACUCCAGCCAAAGCAACAGAACAAGAUCCUGUCUCAAUAAAUAAAUAAAUAAACAAAUAAAUAAAUAAAUAGCUGGGCAUGGUGGUGCAUACCCACAGUCCCAGCUACUUGGGAGGCUGAGGCAGGGGGAUUGCUUGAAUCCAUAAGGUUGAGGCUGUAGUGAGCUAUCAUCAUGCCACUGCACUCCAGCCCGGGUGACAGAUCAAGACCCUGUUUCAAAAAACAAAAAACAAAUUGCAGAAUGAGUGUUGGCAGCCAGGAAGACAAUCCCUGAGAUAGUAGUGAAGCAGUCUUUUCUUCUUUUUGUUGCCCAGGCUGGUUUUGAACUCCUAGGCUCAAGCAAUUCUCCAAUCUCGGCCUCCCAAAGUCCUGGGAUUACAAGUGUGAGCCACUGCGCCUAGCCACUUUUUAAUAUUUUAAAAGAUAAUUGCCUGUUUAAACAAAAACAGUAACAAUGUAAUGUGGGGUCUAUAACAUAUAUAGAAAUAAAAUGUACAACCGCAGUAACACAAAGAAUAGAAGAAGGGAAAUGAAAAUAAGGCUCACAUAUCAUAAGUAAAGAAACAGAACUCUAUAUAAAGGUAGACUAUGUUAAAAGUAUAUAUUGUAAACCUUAAAAAAGCCACUGAAAAUACAACAAAGAGGUAGUGCUAAUAAGCCAGUAGAGAAAAUAAAAUGGAAUCAUACAAAAUUCUACAUCACUCCAAAAGAAAUCAGGAAUAGAGGGGAAAAGAACAAAGAAAAUGUAGAAUAAAUAGCAAACAAAUAGCAAGAUGUGAGUUUUAAAACCAACUAUAUCAAUAGUUAUAUGAACUAUAAAUGGUCUAAAUACUCCACAUAGAGAGAUUUUUUUAAAGCAAGCUGGUCAUGCUGGAUGAAAAAAACAAGACCCAACUAUAAGUAGAAGGAUGGGGAAAAGAUAUACCAUGCAUAUGAAUCAAAAGAAAUGGAGUUGUUACAAUAGCAUCUGACAAAAUACAAUCAGAGCAAAGAAUAUGAUCAGGGGCCAGGCGUGGUGGCUCACACUUGUAAUCCCAGCACUUUGGGAGGCCAAGGUAGGCCGAUUGCUUGAGCUCAGGAGUUUGAGACUAGCCUGAGUAACACACAGAAACCCUAUCUCUACAAAAAAUAGAAAAAUUAGUUGGGUGUGGUAGCAUGUGCCUGUGUUCCCAGCUUCUUAGGAGGCUGAGGUGUGAGGAUCACUUGAGCCUGGGAGGUUGAGGUUGCAGUGAGCCAUGUUCGUGCCACUGCACUCCAGCCUAUGUGACAAAGCGAGACCUUGUUUCAAAAAAAAAACAAGCAAGAAGAAAUUAUCAGGAUAAAGAGAGACAUUUCACUAUUUAAUUGCUAACUCGUUAAGAGGAUGCCCAAAUCCUACAUGUAACCACAAUCAACAACAGAGCUUCAAAACACAUGUGGUCAAUUGGUUUUUUGUUUGAUUUUGUUAAACUUGUUAUUUUAUAAAGUUUUAGAUUUACAGAAAAUUUGUGAAGAUAAUUCAAAAAGAUUCCAUAUAGUUUGCAUGCAGUUUCUCCUAUUAUUAACAUCUUCCACUGAAAUGGUACAUUUGGCAUAAUUAAUGAAACAAUCUUGAUACAUUACUAUUAACCAGGGUCCAUAAUUUAUUCAGAUUUCCUUCAUUUUUACCUAAUGUCCUUCUUCUGUUCCUGGACAUUAGGUCUGUAUCCAUAAUACCACAUUCCACUUAAUUCUCAUGUAUCCUUAGGUUCUUCUUGGCUGUGACAGUUUCUCAGACUUUCCUUAUUCUGAAUGACCUUGGCAGUUUUUAGGAGUACUGGUAUUUUAUGAAAUGCCCUUCACUUGGAAUUUGUCUGACAUUUUUCUUAUGAUUAGACUGGAAAAAAGACCAAAGAGGUAAAGUCACAUUUUUAUCACAUCAUAUCAAGGGCACAGAGUAACAACAUAGCUGUUGAUGUGAACCUUGACUGCCUUGGCUGAGGCAGUGUUUGUCAGGUUUCUCCAGUGUGAAGUUACUUGGGCAAUUACUUUUUCACAAAGGCGCUAAGGUGAUUUAAUGGAGGUGACAGAAAGACUUUUCAAUAAAUGAAGCUUGAACAACUGGAUAUACUUAUGGGAGAAAAUGAACCUUGACACUUACUUCAUAGCACACGUAAAAAUUAACUUGAAAUGUAUCAUAGACCUAAACAUGAAAGCCAAAAGUAUAAAACUUCUAGAAGGAAAUCUUUGUGAUCCUGAGGUAGGCAGAUUUCUUAGAACACAAACAGCACAAAAAAUAAAUUUUAAAAUUCAUAAAGUUGACUUCAUCAAAAUUUUAAAACAACUCUUUGAAAGUCACUAAGAACAUGAAAAGACAAACUACAGAUUGGGAGAAAAUAUAUCUUUCUCCUUGAUACAGGUCUUUAUCCAGAAUAAUUUUUUUAACUCUUACAAUUCAUUAACAAGGCAAAAAAUCUAAUUUUUAAGUGGCAAAAAUUUGAACAAAUACUUCACCAAAAAAGAUAUGCAAAUGGCCGAAAAACACAUGAAAAGAUGCUCAAUAUCAUUAGUCGUCAAGGAAAUGCAACUAAAACCACAAUGAGAUCCUGUUACAUACUCAUUCGCAUGGGUAAAGUUAAAAAGACUCACAAUAUCGAGUGUUGGUGAGAAUGUAGAGUAAUGAAAAGUUUCAUUUUUCUCUGGUGGAAAAGUAAAAUGAAGCAGUGGAUGCAGUGGCUCAUACCUGUAAUCCCAGAACUUUGGGAGGCCAAGGCGGGAGGACUAUUUGAGGCCAGGAGUUCCAUACCAGCCUGGGCAACAUAGUGAGACUCUGUCUCUACAAAAAAUAAAACAAAUUAGCUGGGUGUAGUGGUAUGCGCCUGUAGUCCCAGCUACUCAGGAGGCCGAGGCAUGAGGAUUUCUUGAGCCCAAGAUUUCAAGGCUGCAGUGAGCUAUGACUGUGCCACUGCACUCCAGCCUGGGUGACAGAGUGAGACUUUGUCUCAACAAAGAAAAAAAAAGUAAAAUGAUGAAACCACUUUGGAAAAGAGCUUGAAAAAUGUUAAACAUACAUUUACUCUACAACCAAUCAAUAUUACUCAUGGGGUUUACCCAAGAAAAAUAAAAACCAAUGUCAUCUAAAGACUUGCACAUAAAUGUGCAUACCAACUUUAUGCAUAAUAGCGAAAAACUGAAAACAACUCAAGUGUCUCUUAACAGGUGAAUGAACAAAUUAUGAUACAUUCAUACAAUGGAAUAGCACACAGCACAAAAUGAUAUGAACUUCCAAUACAUACAACAGUUUGGAUGAGUCUCAAAAGCAUUAUGCUGAGAAAGACGCACCAAACACGAGAGUGUACAGACUGUAUGAUUCCAUUUCUAGAAAAGGUCACCGUAUAUGGACAGGAAGCAAUGGUGCCCCAGGGCCGAGGGAGUUGAUGUACAAGAGGGAACACUUUGGGGUGAUAGAAAUGUUCUUUAUCUCCAUGUUGGUGGUGCUUCCAUUUGUCAAAACUCAUUGAACGGUAAACUUUAAAUUGACGUGCUUUAUUGUCUUCCUUGAUUAAGCUGAUACAAUGCAGCAUCAGAAGUCAAGAAGCUCUGCUCCCGGGAGUUGACGGCAGUCCAGAGUUUUCUGUGACCCUUGGCUCUGCCCCAGGAGGUAUUCUUUUUCCAUUAUCAUUCUCUUUGGCUGAAUCCGAAGAGAACAUUUGAAAAUAUGACCUCUUAGGGGCUCAGCAGAAGACAAGGGCCUCCACUGUUGUUUUAGGUCUGGCGCAGUCAGUCUCUGGUGGCAACAGGACUCUCAAAACAUUCAGCCAAAGGCAUCUUUUAUUUCCGUUGGAGUUGCAGCAGUGGGUGUGAUUACCACACCCUUGAUUUGGUAUUUGCCACCUCGAAGAGCUUUAACCAGCCUUUGUUCCUCAGGACACUUCUUCCUUCUUCUGUUUUAUCUUCUUGAGAGUGACAUAUUACUUCUGCUGCAUUUCAAAG